rnacentral:rRNA from 1 species
UCUACGGGAGGCAGCAGUGAGGACUAUUGGUCAAUGGGCGCGAGCCUGAACCAGCCAAGUAGCGUGAAGGAUGACUGCCCUACGGGUUGUAAACUUUUUUUAUAAAGGAAUAAAGUGAGGCACGUGUGCCUUUUUGUAUGUACUUUAUGAUUAAGGAUAGGCGAAAUCCGUGCCAGCAGCCGCGGUAAUACGGAGGAUGCGAGCGUUAUCCGGAUUUAUUGGGUUUAACGGGAGCGUAGAUGGGUUGUUAAGUCAGUUGUGAAAGUUUGCGGCUCAACCGUAAAAUUGCAAUUGAUACUGGCAGGCUUGAGUACAGUUGAGGUAGGCGGAAUUCGUGGUGUAGCGGUGAAAUGCUUAGAUAUCACGAAGAACUCCGAUUGCGAAGGCAGCUUACUAAACUGCCACUGACAUUGAUGCUCGAAAGUGUGGGUAUCAAACAGGAUUAGAUACCCUAGUAGUC